AGAGUUUGAUCCUGGCUCAGAAUCAACGCUGGCGGCGUGCCUCAGACAUGCAAGUCGAACGAUUAAGACUCUCUUCGGAGAGUGUAUAGAGUGGCGCACGGGUGAGUAACACGUAGGUAAUUUGCCUUCGGGUGGGGAAUAACUUGGGGAAACCCAAGCUAAUACCGCAUAAUGCAGCGGCACCAAAUGGUGACAGUUGUUAAAGCUUUAUGUGCCUGAAGAGAAGCCUGCGGUGGAUUAGGUAGUUGGUAAGGUAAUGGCUUACCAAGCCUGCGAUCCAUAUCCGGUCUUAGAGGACGGUCGGACACACUGACACUGAAUAACGGGUCAGACUCCUACGGGAGGCAGCAGUCGGGAAUUUUGGGCAAUGGGCGAAAGCCUGACCCAGCAACGCCGCGUGAAGGAUGAAGUCCUUCGGGAUGUAAACUUCGGAAGAAUGGGAAGAAUAAAUGACGGUACCAUUUUUAAGCCCCGGCUAACUCCGUGCCAGCAGCCGCGGUAAUACGGAGGGGGCAAGCGUUGUUCGGAUUUACUGGGCGUAAAGGGCGCGUAGGCGGCGCAACAAGUCACUUGUGAAAUCUCCGGGCUUAACUCGGAACUGCCAAGUGAUACUGUAGUGCUAGAGUGCAGAAGGGGCAAUCGGAAUUCUUGGUGUAGCGGUGAAAUGCGUAGAUAUCAAGAGGAACACCAGAGGCGAAGGCGGAUUGCUGGGCUGACACUGACGCUGAGGCGCGAAAGCUAGGGUAGCAAACGGGAUUAGAUACCCCCGUAGUCC
rnacentral:rRNA from 1 species